rnacentral:rRNA from 1 species
UCCAGACUCCUACGGGAGGCAGCAGUGGGGGAUAUUGCACAAUGGGGGGAACCCUGAUGCAGCGACGCCGCGUGGGUGAAGGAGCGUUUCGGCGCGUAAAGCCCUAUCGGCAGGGAAGAAGGAGGACGGUACCUGACUAAGAAGCCCCGGCUAACUACGUGCCAGCAGCCGCGGUAAUACGUAGGGGGCAAGCGUUAUCCGGAUUUACUGGGUGUAAAGGGGGCGCAGACGGCAGCGCAAGCCAGGAGUGAAAGCCCGGGGCCCAACCCCGGGACUGCUCUUGGAACUGCGCGGCUGGAGUGCAGGAGGGGCAGGCGGAAUUCCUGGUGUAGCGGUGAAAUGCGUAGAUAUCAGGAGGAACACCGGUGGCGAAGGCGGCCUGCUGGACUGCGACUGACGUUGAGGCCCGAAAGCGUGGGGAGCAAACAGGAUUAGAUACCCCGGUACC